GGGGUUGUGGCUCAGUAGUAGAGCGCUCAUCUAGCACGUGAAAGGCCCUGGGUUCGAUCCUCAGCACCACA
rnacentral:tRNA from 1 species